CCCCAAAAAAUUAAAAAAUCCCCAAAGACUAAAUCUUCCCCCCAAUAAUUUUAAACUUAAUCAAAUACUACUCCCACGAAUAAAAGCUGGAACCCUAACCUUUUCCCUUCCCCCAAUUCCCUUUACGUCAUAGGCUGCACCGGCGGCCUAAUUUCUCCAUUUCUCUUCUCUCUCUCUCUGCUUGAAUUUUAUUUGUCAUUUACUUUUCUUGAUUUAUUUUUUCUUUUGUAGGUUUUACGAAGUGGAGUCCCGAAAGAGAUUAAUUGUAUAAUAUGAUUGUUGCAUUGGAUCAUAUUUUUGUGGAUGUGAAGAGAUCUCUUUCUCAUCUUCAUCAGAAGUCGAUAUGCAAAAAUUAGAGUCAAGAAGAGAAGUCUUUUGAAGAGGAUGCAUGUUGUCAUAGAGAUUCAAGAUGCUGCUUUGUAUGAAGGCUCAACAAGUGACAAUCAAUGAAUUGGUGUUUUUGUGGUCACUAGUCAAUAUUAGAUUUUAUUUAUAGCAUUCUCAGCUUAGGAGAAAAUUUUGUAUUCUUCGGGAACCAUAUAUUUAAUGGUGUGCACGAGAUUUUUCAAAAGUUUGUCGAAGUGACUCUUUUGUUUAAUUCAAAGUUCUAUUGUAGUGUAUAACUUGUGUACUGGAAUUAUAUGAUUCAUCGUGGCAUUAAAUUAGAUUUUUUCAGUAUAUAAAAAAGAAAAAUGAUGCUAUUGACUAGAGAUGAUUUUCCGA